CUACGGGUCGCAGCAGUGGGGAAUAUUGCACAAUGGAGGAAACUCUGAUGCAGCAACGCCGCGUGGAGGAUGACACUUUUCGGAGCGUAAACUCCUUUUAUAUAGGAAGAAGAUGACGGUACUAUAUGAAUAAGCGCCGGCUAACUCCGUGCCAGCAGCCGCGGUAAUACGGAGGGCGCAAGCGUUACUCGGAAUCACUGGGCGUAAAGAGCGUGUAGGCGGAUUAAAAAGUCAGAAGUGAAAUCCUAUAGCUUAACUAUAGAACUGCUUCUGAAACUCUUAAUCUAGAAUAUGGGAGAGGUAGAUGGAAUUUCUGGUGUAGGGGUAAAAUCCGUAGAGAUCAGAGGGAAUACCGAUUGCGAAGGCGAUCUACUAGAACAUUAUUGACGCCGAGACGCGAAAGCGUGGGGAGCAAACAGGAUUAGAUACCCUGUAGUC
rnacentral:rRNA from 1 species